GGAUGUCAGAAAUAAUCUGGCUUUGAUCUCUAACACUUUUCUGAUCACUAAGGUUAAUUCCACCUUUCUUCCUGGUUCUGCAGAUACCUCCUUCCUCCCUCAUUAUUCCGUGAUUUCCUCGUAUGAAACCGUGAGCUUGAUCAGAAAGGGUAACUUUCACACUUAGGAAAGCACCAUUCUUGAGUCAAGGGUGUAUGAGUACAGUGGUUGCACUAUUUCACCAUAUCAUACCUAUUAAUGCUGGUCACUUGUUUUGAAGGUUGACCGAGGGU
rnacentral:snRNA from 10 species